rnacentral:lncRNA from 1 species
UCUUCUUCAUCAUCAACAUUUGAUCCCAUCCCUGCCUCAUCAUCAUAAACCUCCUCCAUUUCAACAUGCAACUUCAAUUCAAUUUCCUCAAGUAUUUCCUGCAUCAAAAGAAUUCUGAUCCACUGAGGCUCAACCUUUAUUUCAUCCGCAUUCACCUCCAAAAGCCUCAUCUCAUGUGUUUCCAUCUCCUUGAGUAGCUUCAAGUUGCUGUAGUAGAAGAAGAGCUUC